rfam:Syntrophomonas wolfei subsp. wolfei str. Goettingen, complete genome.
AAUAGUUAAUGUCUUCGAGCCUUUUAUCCUAUAGCUUUAAGCCACGGAUAAUUGGACGAAAGGAGCAUCAAACGCUCCCCAGGGUAUAGCUGUAAACGGCUGUGCCUCCCGUAUUUGGAAAGAAGAUAUGGAACAUCCUUU